AACGAACGCUGGCGGCGCGCCUAAUACAUGCAAGUCGAGCGAGAAGACGUAGCAAUACGUUUGUAAAGCGGCGAACGGGUGAGGAAUACAUGGGUAACCUACCCUCGAGUGGGGAAUAACUAGCCGAAAGGUUAGCUAAUACCGCGUACGCUCCUUGGACUUCGGUUCAGGGAGGAAAGCGAUACCGAGGGUAUCGCGCUCUUGGAUGGGCUCAUGUCCUAUCAGCUUGUUGGUGAGGAACGGCUCACCAAGGCUUCGACGGGUAGCUGGUCUGAGAGGACGAUCAGCCACACUGGCACUGCGACACGGGCCAGACUCCUACGGGAGGCAGCAGUAAGGAAUAUUGCGCAAUGGGCGAAAGCCUGACGCAGCGACGCCGCGUGGGGGA
rnacentral:rRNA from 1 species